GCAUUUCGUAUAGGGUGGCGUGAUGGGAACCUGGACAGGGCCGAGAAAAAACGCAUCACCAAGUACCCUAUGACGAGGCAGGACAAGAACCCCAAAAACAAUGUGGCUGCAAGGCACAAUUUCAGGCUUGCAAAGUACUGUAAUGACGACGGUGUUGAGAGCAGAACCUUGACCAAAGCAUUUAGCAUCCAUAACAUCACUGUCUUUGUGAAGAACAUUUGUGUGCAAGUAAAACUCCCAUUAGCCCAGUAGUCAUGGACACAGCCAGUUCUGGUGACCAGCACUUGUUCUGUGGAAAUUCUUGCUUUUCUCAGCCUGCUCAUUGAGGAGAUGAGAUACGGUACCCAGUGAAAUGAGCUCCAACGAUCCUCAAAAGAUCAACACAUCCUGCCUGCCCUGGACCCAGACUUACAGUUAGCAGAGUUAAGAGUGGCAGAAACAACCAGCCACCCAGUGAAGACAUUUCUCUUAAACUUCAUGACCAUAGGAGAAAUCUCAACAGUAAAGAGAGAAGACAUUCGGAAUAAGAAAACCAAGCUUGCAAAAAAGAUUUUAGACAGUAUUUAAGCAAUGGGAGAAUUCUCAAAAAAAUCUGACCACCUAUUGCCCUCAGAUUGAUGGAAAAAAAAUCAUUCAAAUAAACACCACACUACCAAAGUUAAGAAUGUCAAGCAAGAGAUUCUAUUAAGGAAUCACUAUGUUUUGACAUCAUGUUUAUACAUCACUUCAGACCUAUAAGAGGCUUAAGGCGAAAGUGAAAAAACUUUAAAAACUAUAAUACUAAAAGGAAUUUUAUUAUGAACAAGAAAUUUCAACUACAAAGUAUGAAAGAACCACCAUUUUCACAAUUAAACUACAAAUCAGGUGUUUAAAGAGGGAAAGGGGACCUAUACUGUGUAAUUAUCGCCUUUUCUGGAAAAUAUUUCCCCGUCCAAUCCCUCCACGUCCACGUCCUCUUGCAGCCACUGUAAGAGAAGAAAUGCACACAUUACAUGUAUGGGGGCUAAUAUGCCACAAAUCUAAAUUAAUGCAAAGACAACUCCAGGAUGGCAGAACAGCUUAGGGAGGCUUAUUGUCAAAGCAAAACCAAACCGAAUGAGGAGCAGCAGCAAAUGUAAAGAACAUCACCCAAGAAAGAGGCUCCAUAGCUUUGCAUUAAGUAUUCUGCCCUCAUGUGAAUUUUUAAGGAAGACUUUUCCAGACUGGAUGGUUUGGAACUAAAUGAGGUUUUGGAGGAAAGAAACUGACAAAGCACCCAAAAAAUACUGAAGUGUUUUCAAAAGGAGCUGAAUAUUCAUUAAUUAACCACUACACCCCACCCUUUCUGAAGGCUGAUUCAUACUUCAGCGUCACAUCGACCUGUAAAUAGCCGUGAACCUUAUGCUGUAGCCUGACAGGCACGCCCCCAGAAAUGCAACUACAUGUCCUGGAGACACAAAUCGCAAGAACUAUGAUUGGUCCACUUGGUAGCAUUCUUUUCUUCUUAUGGGAGAAAAGAAAGCGUACAUCCCAGGUGUACUUUUAUCGCUGAUUGAACCUGAAGAGCUAUUUAUAUCUAGCAUUAAAUAACCCACCAUAGGCAUCGUAUAAUCAUGUCAACGAAACUCUCGGGAUAACAGCACCAAUUCCACGACCUCCAAAAAGUUUAUUCAUACUUUAAACUACUAAAAAAAAAAGUAAAAAGUAGUAUAGACACUAACUUCAGAUGAGAAAACACAAAAAAGGUGACUUUGUGGCACCUCUACAGUUUUUCCCAGAUUUGUCUGCGGGAAGUUUGGAGCAGCGUAUAUAUAACCAGGACUCAAUAAAUGGGAACUGUUAAAGAAUAUUUUCUCUGUUUCGGUUGCGUGAUGGAAUAAUUGAACGUAUCGCAGGAUGGUAAGGCAGUAAAUCCAACAUCUAAAACUAUGGAUCACCUAGCAUUUGGACAGUGUAAUUGAGCGACACAGACACCAAUACUCGCACAAUGCUUGCAACGGUGUUGGCCACUUGUGUAAGUCACGGCGUAGGCUAAACGCAGAAAUAUAGAUCAGCCUUUAGAAUAACCAGGAGUGCAGGACGUGGAAGCCCCAUUACUGAAUUCUUAAAAUGAUUGAAGAUCGACUGCAUUUUCUUGUCUGUGUACUUGUACAUUGAUCAAUGACAAUAAAGUGGAAUCUAAUCAAUUAAUAGA